CUGGAAAGGCGCGCGAUACAGGGUGACAGCCCCGUACACAAAAAUGCACAUGCUGUGAGCUCGAUGAGUAGGGCGGGACACGUGGUAUCCUGUCUGAAUAUGGGGGGACCAUCCUCCAAGGCUAAAUACUCCUGACUGACCGAUAGUGAACCAGUACCGUGAGGGAAAGGCGAAAAGAACCCCGGCGAGGGGAGUGAAAAAGAACCUGAAACCGUGUACGUACAAGCAGUGGGAGCACGCUUAGGCGUGUGACUGCGUACCUUUUGUAUAAUGGGUCAGCGACUUAUAUUCUGUAGCAAGGUUAACCGAAUAGGGGAGCCGAAGGGAAACCGAGUCUUAACUGGGCGUUAAGUUGCAGGGUAUAGACCCGAAACCCGGUGAUCUAGCCAUGGGCAGGUUGAAGGUUGGGUAACACUAACUGGAGGACCGAACCGACUAAUGUUGAAAAAUUAGCGGAUGACUUGUGGCUGGGGGUGAAAGGCCAAUCAAACCGGGAGAUAGCUGGUUCUCCCCGAAAGCUAUUUAGGUAGCGCCUCGUGAAUUCAUCUCCGGGGGUAGAGCACUGUUUCGGCAAGGGGGUCAUCCCGACUUACCAACCCGAUGCAAACUGCGAAUACCGGAGAAUGUUAUCACGGGAGACACACGGCGGGUGCUAACGUCCGUCGUGAAGAGGGAAACAACCCAGACCGCCAGCUAAGGUCCCAAAGUCAUGGUUAAGUGGGAAACGAUGUGGGAAGGCCCAGACAGCCAGGAUGUUGGCUUAGAAGCAGCCAUCAUUUAAAGAAAGCGUAAUAGCUCACUGGUCGAGUCGGCCUGCGCGGAAGAUGUAACGGGGCUAAACCAUG
rnacentral:rRNA from 1 species